rnacentral:tRNA from 1 species
GGUGCUGUGGCUUAGAGGGCUAAAGCCCCAGCCUGCAACGCCGGCAUCUCAUAUGGGUGCCGGUUCUAGUCCUGGCUGCUCCA